rnacentral:lncRNA from 1 species
UCCUCUCCUUCCUUCCCCCUUCCCUUCCCUUCCCUUCCCUUCCCUUCCCUUCCCUUCCCUUCCCUUCCCUUCCCUUCCNNNNNNNNNNNNNNNNNNNNNNNNNNNNNNNNNNNUCUUUCCAUCCUUCCUCCCUUCUUUUUAUUCCCUUCCCUUCUUUUCUCUUCCUCCCUUCUUUCCACCCUUCCUGCCUUCUUUUUCUUCCCCUUCUUUUUCUUCCCUUCCCUUCCCUUCCCUUCCCUUCCCUUCCCUUCCCUUCCCUCCCCUUUCCUUUCCUUCUUUUCUCUCCAUUCCUUCUUUCCAUCCUUCCUCCCUUCUUUUUAUUCCCUUCCCUCUCCCCUUUCCCUUUCCUUCCCUUCUUUUCUCUCCUCUCUUUCCAUCUUUCCUCCUUUCUCUUUCUUCCCUUCCUCUUCUUUUCUCUUCCUUCCUUCUUUCCAUCCUUUCUCUCUUCUUUUCCUUCUCCUUCUUCCUCUUCUUUUUCUUCCCUUCCCUUCCCUCUCUCCAUCCUUCCUCCCUUCUUUUUCUUCUCCAUCUUCUUUCUCCCUUCCCUUCCUCUCCCAUCACCCCCAACCACCCCACCCUCCAAUCCUCCCCCUUUUCCCCCCCAAAACAACCCACCCCAACCCCUCCUUACCAUCAACGAAUGCCUGUUGGCCGACAGCAACCCAGUCCCAUAGCCAGACCCCAACCCAGCCAUGGCCCCGUUAUGAGCAGCUCCUAUCAAUCCAUGCAUUUCCCCAUGGCCUCCCCCGAUGGCCGUCCCGGCUCCGACCGCGUGGUUCCUCAACACGUGGAUGGCGUCGUCCAGCCGCUCCAAACGAUCCUCGAUGCGGCUCUGCUGGGGAGACACAACCCCAAAAAAACCUCAGCGAGGUGUUUUGCCCCUUUUCCCCCUCAGUUCCCCUUUUUUUUCCCCUUCGUUUUCCUUUUUCUCCCGAUUUUUCCCGUUUUUUUCCAGAUUUUCCACUUUUUUUCCUCAUUUUUUUUUAUUUCUCACUGAUUUUUGCUGCAUUUUUCCUCAUUUUUCCCACUUCUCCUGAUUAUUUCCUUUCUUUCCUGAUAUUUUCCUCGUUUUCCUUGAUCUUUUUCCAAUUAUCCUGAUUU